GAGGCGGGCCGGCCGCCAUGUUGGAGUCUGGGCAUCUGUGUUCUUCCUGCUCUGCUCCUCCUCAUCCUCGUCUUCAUCGCUGGACUCUGCCUGCACUCAGGUAAACAAGCUGUUUGCUGUCAUCCACAGAGUCAGAGGGUCACAGAGGAAGAGUCCCUGCACUACUCCAGCCUGAGGCACGCUCACAAGCCACGCCCCACCGGCCGAGGAGGCACGGGAUUGGUCGAAGACGACGUCACGUACUCGGCAGUGAUGAGGCGUGAGAACGCGUCACGUGACCUCAGGUAGAGCUGUGAUUGGUCCAGAGAAACACUGGGAGACUUUAAUUUAAAUAAAGAACUCCUUUAAUCUCUUUUAUUACGACGUUAAUCUAUUUCUCUUUUCUUCUCAUCUAAUCGACUGAAUGAUGCUCUGUACUUUUGCUUCUUUAUUAUAAUUAACGUACAAAUACAGCAGAAAAGUUAAAAUGUGACGAGACAAACUCACAUCACGGUGAAAGU